GACGAACGCUGGCGGCGUGCUUAACACAUGCAAGUCGAACGGAAAGGCCCCUUCGGGGGUACUCGAGUGGCGAACAGGUGAGUAACACGUGAGUAACCUGCCCUUGACUUCGGGAUAACUUCAGGAAACUGGGGCUAAUACCGGAUAGGAAUCCUUGCUGCAUGGUGGGGGUUGGAAAGCUUCGGCGGUUUUGGAUGGACUCGCGGCUUAUCAGCUUGUUGGUGGGGUAGUGGCUUACCAAGGCUUUGACGGGUAGCCGGCCUGAGAGGGCGACCGGCCACCUUGGGACUGAGAUGCGGCCCAGGCUCCUACGGGAGGGAGCAGUGGGGAAUAUUGAAGGAGGGGCGGAAGCCUGAUGCAGCAACGCCGCGUGCGGGAUGACGGCCUUAGGGUUGUAAACCGCUUUCAGCAGGGGCGAAGCUUGUGGUGACGGUACCUGCAGAAGAAGCACCGGCUAACUACGUG
rnacentral:rRNA from 1 species